GCGUUGUUCGGAAUCACGUGGGCGUAAAGCGUAUGUAGGCGGAUCAAAAAGUUAGAUGUGAAAUCCCUGGGCUCAGCCCAGGAACUGCAUUUAAAACUAGUGAUCUAGAAAUUGGUAAGGGUUAGUAGAAUUUCCAGUGUAGAGGUGAAAUUCGUAGAUAUUGGAAAGAAUACCAGAAGCGAAGGCGAUUUUCUGGACUGAUAUUGACGCUGAGAUGCGAAGGCAUGGGUAGCAAACGGGAUUAGAUACCCCGGUAGUCCAUGCAGUAAACGAUGGGUGCUAGUCGUCGGACUUAUGUUCGGUGUCGUAGCUAACGCGUUAAGUAUCCCGCCUGGGGAGUACGGUCGCAAGACUAAAACUCAAAGGAAUUGACGGGACCCCGCACAAGCGGCGGAGCAUGCGGCUUAAUUCGAUGAUACCCGUAGAACCUUACCUGGACUUGACAUAUAGGGUCAAGCUAUAGAGAUAUAGUGUGCAUUAGCGCCCUAUACAGGUGGUGCAUGGCU
rnacentral:rRNA from 1 species